rnacentral:rRNA from 1 species
CUACGGGGGGCACCAGUCGAGAAUCUUCCGCAAUGGACGAAAGUCUGACGGAGCGACGCCGCGUGCGGGAUGAAGGCCUUCGGGUUGUAAACCGCUGUCAGUGGGGAGGAAAUGCAUCAGGGUUCUCCCUGGUGUUUGACCGAUCCGCAAAGGAAGCGCAGGCUAAGUUCGUGCCAGCGAGCCGCGGUAACACGAACCGCGCGAACGUUAUUCGGAAUCACUGGGCUUAAAGAGUUCGUAGGCGGCCUUUCAAGUCGGGUGUGAAAUCCCUCGGCUCAACCGAGGAAUUGCGCCUGAUACUGUUGGGCUUGAGGGGGAUAGGGGUGAGCGGAACUGAUGGUGGAGCGGUGAAAUGCGUUGAUAUCAUCAGGAACACCGGUGGCGAAGGCGGCUCACUGGAUCUCUUCUGACGCUGAGGAACGAAAGCUAGGGGAGCGAACGGGAUUAGAUACCCUCGUAGUC